UACGGAGGGUGCGAGCGUUAAUCGGAAUUACUGGGCGUAAAGCGCACGUAGGCGGUUGGGUAAGGCGGAUGUGAAAGCCCUGGGCUUAACCUGGGAACUGCCCCCGAUACUGCCCGGCUAGAGUAUGGGAGAGGGAAGCGGAAUUUCCGGUGUAGCGGUGAAAUGCGUAGAUAUCGGAAGGAACACCAAUGGCGAAGGCAGCUUCCUGGCCCAAUAAAGCCGCCCAGGUGCGAAAGCGUGGGGAUCAAACAGG
rnacentral:rRNA from 1 species